rfam:Solanum tuberosum cultivar DM 1-3 516 R44 scf00290_2, whole genome shotgun sequence.
CAAUGCAACAUACUCAUCACCACAUCUUUCAUCUCAUGUGCAAAAGAUGAAAGUUACGGAGAUGAGUAUGGUGCAUUGGA